rnacentral:rRNA from 1 species
UACGGAGGGUCCAAGCGUUAUCCGGAAUCAUUGGGUUUAAAGGGUCCGUAGGCGGUUUUGUAAGUCAGUGGUGAAAGCCCAUCGCUCAACGGUGGAACGGCCAUUGAUACUGCAAGACUUGAAUUAUUGGGAAGCAACUAGAAUAUGUAGUGUAGCGGUGAAAUGCUUAGAGAUUACAUGGAAUACCAAUUGCGAAGGCAGGUUGCUACCAAUACAUUGACGCUGAUGGACGAAAGCGUGGGAGCGAAC